rnacentral:tRNA from 1 species
GGAGAUGUAGCUCAGUGGUAGAGAAUUUGGCUUAGCAUGCACAAGGCCCUGGGUUCAAUCCCCAGUAAACUUCC